rnacentral:pre_miRNA from 1 species
CACAUACUCCCUCCGUCCGGAAAUAUUUGUCAUCAAAAUGAAUAAAAAGAGAUGUAUCUAGAUGUAUUUUAGUUCUAGAUACAUCUCUUUUUGUCCAUUUUGAUGACAAGUAUUUUCGGACAGAGGGAGUAUUUU